rnacentral:tRNA from 1 species
GCGGAAUGGCAGAGUGGUUAUGCUGCAGCUUGCAAAGCUGUAUACCCUGGUUCGAUUCCAGGAUUCCGCC